GUAUAGCGAUAGGCCAAUGUGUAAUUUUGUGUUCUAUAAAUAUCUAUUAUUGCGCCGAUAAUGUCCCGAAGGAAUGUCUACGUGGAGACUUCUACUUCUGAGUCUGUCAGGGAAACUGCGAUUGCGAUGAAAUCGCUUGAUAUGCAUAAUCAUUUGAAUUGGACUUAAACUGGACUAUUUAAAAAAUAAGAUGGAAGUUUAAUGAACUUGGUAUAUUUCAGAGUCUUGGGAACUUUCAGCGACCAUUUUGGGGAAAUUGAACAAUGUAAACGUAAAGAAAGCUCGUCAUGUGACUAACAGUGCCCGGGAAAAUCACCUAAAUUCGUGCGGAAAUAACAUCCAUCAGAACAUCCAAUAGAAUUAAUGAGGCAGUCAUGUGCUCCUUUACAACAGACAGAUAAUACACUACGCAAUACAAAGAGACAGGGAUGUCAAUCUAUGGAUGCAGCUGCUACUGCGGCAUCAACUAGAAUGAAAUAUCACCUAAUCGUUAGAACAACAUGUAUGGGUAGUGGGCUCAUCAAUAGUCAAAAGAGCAUUUUUAGCAGCUAGAAUCAGACCAGAUGGAGUUAACUUGGGACUAAUGGAUAGAUUAAAUGUGUCUAUUUGGUGGCAAGAAAAAGAAGGUAUUGGGCUGGUAUGAAAUGUACAACAAGAUCAAAACAUUGCUGAAAGUUGCUGACCCUCCUGAUUACAUUAUUCUACAUUGUGGUGGUAAUAAUAUUGGGUACACACCAAUGAAACAGCUUAUACAAGAUAUGAAAGGUACAAUUGACAAAAUUUGGAAACUUUUACCCAAUACAAAGCUAGUAUGGUCACAAAUAUUGCCUAGAAAGAACUGGUAUUCAUCAUAUAGCAUAGACAAAAA